UACGGGGGGGGUAAGCGUUGUUCGGAAUUACUGGGCGUAAAGGGCUCGUAGGCGGCCAACUAAGUCAUACGUGAAAUCCCUCAGCUUAACUGGGGAACUGCGUGUGAUACUGGAUGGCUUGGAUUUGGGAGAGGGAUGCGGAAUUCCAGGUGUAGCGGUGAAAUGCGUAGAUAUCAGGAGGAAUACCGAUGGCGAAGGCAGGUCUCUGGGCUGACACUGACGCUCAUGCACGAAAGCGUGGGGAGCAAACAGG
rnacentral:rRNA from 1 species